AUUAGUGGCGAACGGGUGAGUAACACGUGAGUAACCUGCCCUUGACUCUGGGAUAAGCGUUGGAAACGACGUCUAAUACCGGAUACGAGCUUCAGCCGCAUGGCUAGGAGCUGGAAAGAAUUUCGGUCAAGGAUGGACUCGCGGCCUAUCAGCUUGUUGGUGAGGUAAUGGCUCACCAAGGCGACGACGGGUAGCCGGCCUGAGAGGGUGACCGGCCACACUGGGACUGAGACACGGCCCAGACUCCUACGGGAGGCAGCAGUGGGGAAUAUUGCACAAUGGGCGCAAGCCUGAUGCAGCAACGCCGCGUGAGGGACGACGCCYUUCGGGUUGUAAACCUCUUUUAGCAGGGAAGAAGCGCAAGUGACGGUACCUGCAGAAAAAGCACCGGCUAACUACGUGCCAGCAGCCGCGGUAAUACGUAGGGUGCAAGCGUUGUCCGGAAUUAUUGGGCGUAAAGAGCUCGUAGGCGGUUUGUCGCGUCUGCUGUGAAAACGCGAGGCUCA
rnacentral:rRNA from 1 species